AUUGAACGCUGGCGGCAUGCUUUACACAUGCAAGUCGAACGGGCUUGGGGGCUUGCUCCCAAGUUAGUGGCGAACGGGUGAGUAAUACAUCGGAACGUACCGUGUAGUGGGGGAUAACGUAGCGAAAGUUACGCUAAUACCGCAUACGAUCUACGGAUGAAAGCAGGGGACCUUCGGGCCUUGUGCUAUACGAGCGGCCGAUGUCUGAUUAGCUAGUUGGUGAGGUAAAGGCUCACCAAGGCGACGAUCAGUAGCGGGUCUGAGAGGAUGAUCCGCCACACUGGGACUGAGACACGGCCCAGACUCCUACGGGAGGCAGCAGUGGGGAAUUUUGGACAAUGGGCGAAAGCCUGAUCCAGCCAUGCCGCGUGUCUGAAGAAGGCCUCGGGUUGUAAGGACUUUGUCAGGGAGCAAACUUACUGGUUAAUACCCGGUGAGGCUGAGAGUACCUGAAGAAUAAGCACCGGCUAACUACGUGCCAGCAGCCGCGGUAAU
rnacentral:rRNA from 1 species